UGUUGUAUGAGGCUUGUAAAAGAACAUCUUAAUUGGGGAACAAAAUCAGAGCUCAAAUCAGAGGUUCUCCUGGGGAUAAAGGAGAUUGGAAGUGUGUUAUAUUGGAUGGGGCUUCUUGAUAUAGUGUUGAGAGAAGUAGAUACCUGUCACUUCAUGCAAAUAGCCCCUUGGCUGGGUUUACUCCCCAGUGCAGAUGGGCAAGUAUUACAUUCUCAAGAUGGUGGAGAUAGUCCAAUUUUCAGUCUCUUUAAAUCAGUCACUGCUGCAAUAUUAUCUAAGCCAGGGUGCCCAAAUCCAACCUCUUUCAGCACCCUAUCAAAAUAAGCAGAAGCUGCAGAUCUUUUAUACAAGGCAAAUAUGAAUACUAGAAGUGUGCUUGAAUAUGCCCUUGCCUUUACAAGUGCAGCAUUGGAUAAGUAUUGCAGUAAAUGGAGUGCUAUUCCCAAAACAUGAUUUGUUGACAUUACAACUUCAAAGGAU